rnacentral:rRNA from 1 species
UACAGAGGUCCCAAGCGUUGUUCGGAUUCACUGGGCGUAAAGGGCUCGUAGGUGGCCAACUAAGUCAGACGUGAAAUCCCUCGGCUUAACCGGGGAACUGCGUCUGAUACUGGAUGGCUAGAGAUUGGGAGAGGGAUGCGGAAUUCCAGGUGUAGCGGUGAAAUGCGUAGAUAUCUGGAGGAACACCGGUGGCGAAGGCGGCAUCCUGGACCAACACUGACGCUGAGGAGCGAAAGCCAGGGGAGCAAACGGG